UGUAAGCGUAUACCAAAGUUGUUGCAGUUAAAACACUCGUAGUCGGACUUUGGCAGUUCCGGAUGUGUGCACGUCGUGUGCGCACUUCGCGGGGAUUGCUUUUGUGGUCUUGCGUAGGAUGAGGCACUUUUAUUAGUGAACGUCCUCACGCAACCACUUUUUACUGUGAGAAAAUCAGAGUGCUCAAAGCAGGCAUUUGCCGUGAAUGUAUUAGCAUGGAAUAAUAGAAUAGGACUUGGUUCUAUUUUGUUGGUUUGUUGGGACUGAGUAAUGAUUAAGAGGGACAGUUGGGGGCAUUUGUAUUUCGGUGCUAGAGGUGAAAUUCUUAGAUUACCGAAAGACAAACUGCUGCGAAAGCGUCUGCCAAGGAUGUUUUCAUUGA
rnacentral:rRNA from 1 species